rnacentral:rRNA from 1 species
ACUCCUACGGGAGGCAGCAGUGGGGAAUAUUGCACAAUGGGCGGAAGCCUGAUGCAGCAACGCCGCGUGCGGGAUGACGGCCUUCGGGUUGUAAACCGCUUUCGCCUGUGACGAAGCGUGAGUGACGGUAAUGGGUAAAGAAGCACCGGCUAACUACGUGCCAGCAGCCGCGGUGAUACGUAGGGUGCGAGCGUUGUCCGGAUUUAUUGGGCGUAAAGGGCUCGUAGGUGGUUGAUCGCGUCGGAAGUGUAAUCUUGGGGCUUAACCCUGAGCGUGCUUUCGAUACGAGUUGACUUGAGGAAGGUAGGGGAGAAUGGAAUUCCUGGUGGAGCGGUGGAAUGCGCAGAUAUCAGGAGGAACACCAGUGGCGAAGGCGGUUCUCUGGGCCUUUCCUGACGCUGAGGAGCGAAAGCGUGGGGAGUGAACAGGCUUAGAUACCCCAGUAGUCCC